GGCGAAAAGAGGGGUACCUGUAAACACUGAUGUAAACACGGCUCCGAUAACAAUCAUUCUUAGUUAUAAAUAAAUAGCACGAAAUAUAUCAAAUCAUUUUUAAUUACAAAAUAAAUAAUGAAAAGAAGUCAUUUUUUUUUCUUAAAACAUAUUAGACAUCACAUGGGAUAACAGUAUCCUGAAAUUUUAAGGUUGUGCAUCUAUAUAAAAAAAAUAGUUAACCUAUUUAAACCGGAAUCAAAUAAGUUGAUUUAAAUCUCUUAUAAAAGGCGUAUUUGUUAGUGCAAAACCAGUUUUAGUUUGUUAACUUUUCAUUAGUUAAUGAGAACCAGUUUGAAAGUUCGAACCUAAACUGGUUUGCCGUUUGUUAUUCUCAAACCCAAACUGGUUCCAGAAACUAUUCAAACCAUUUCCAAGGAUGGUU
rnacentral:lncRNA from 1 species